GUUUUCGUGGUGUAGUGGUUAUCACGUGUCGUUCACAAUUAGUUGAACAUUGUUACCCGACAAGGUCCCCGGUUCGAGCCCGGGCGAAAACA